rnacentral:rRNA from 1 species
GACGAACGCUGGCGGCAUGCCUAAUACAUGCAAGUCGAGCGAAGUUUUUCUGGUGCUUGCACUAGAAAAACUUAGCGGCGAACGGGUGAGUAACACGUAAAGAACCUGCCUCAUAGACUGGGACAACUAUUGGAAACGAUAGCUAAUACCGGAUAACAGUAUUUCUCGCAUGAGAGAUAUUUAAAAGUUGGUUAUGCUAACACUAUGAGAUGGCUUUGCGGUGCAUUAGCUAGUUGGUGGGGUAAAGGCCCACCAAGGCGACGAUGCAUAGCCGACCUGAGAGGGUGAUCGGCCACACUGGGACUGAGACACGGCCCAGACUCCUACGGGAGGCAGCAGUAGGGAAUCUUCCGCAAUGGGCGAAAGCCUGACGGAGCAACGCCGCGUGAGUGAAGAAGGAUUUCGGUUCGUAAAGCUCUGUUGUUAGGGAAGAAUGGAUAUGUAGUAACUAUACAUGUAAGAGACGGUACCUAACCAGAAAGCCACGGCUAACUACGUG